ensembl:lncRNA
GGUUGGGGUUAUCAGAAUCUAGAAUCUUGGAGGAGGGGCCCCAUAGAGCAAGAGUUCAAGAGUUCUGAAAAGGAAUACGACUUGGCUGAAGUCAAAGGACAAGAGAAACAAUGUGGCUGGUUUGGAUGUGCCUUAAAAAGCUGGAGACAGGAAACACUGCUGCCAGACUGAAGGGGCAUCACUGGGGUGGUGCUGACAAGCAUACUGGCCAACAGGAAGAGGUGGAAUUUAGAUUGGGAAAGGAGUUUCCCAUCUAAAGAGAACAUCAGAAAGUGAAGAGAACAGCAGGAGCAACAGAACCAGAAGCUGGUAACAAGCUUCUGAAUACUUCAAUGAAGGAUGGGUAGAAAGCUUUGAAGAGAACCAAGAUCAUGGAGAUCAAGGAUGGUGAUCAGCAAUGUCAAAUGAUACAGAUGGCAAGGUCUCUGAGAACCUUGGGGAAUAUCUGAUUCAGUACCAGAUUUGCUAAGCCUCUUUAACAAGGUGGUGGCUCUUGAACACAUGGCCAUUCAGCUUUAUCUUCUGGAUUUGCACAGUGUGUUAAACUAUCACUUACAUGGGUUCAAAG